rnacentral:misc_RNA from 1 species
GUUCAUCCCUUGGUAUUCUUAAUAACAAGAUGCAGUCAAUAUGAUUGCAAUUAGUUAUAGAUAUUUUACAAUAUGCAAUAUGGAUUGUUUGCAUAUCACAAGACUCAGAUAAUGCAAAGAGGUACAGUUCACCAUUCAUGCAUGAAUCAUUAAAUCUUACCAUAAGAAACUAAUCAUGAUAUGCAUUGGCCUUUGGCUCAAAUGGUCAAAGAGCAAUUACUAUCAUUUUUUUUAAUCAGUUCAAUUACAAGCUAUUUCAAUUAAAAUGAUAAAAAAAAAAUGCAUAAUUAUUAGCACAACCAAUCCAAGUAAUCAUAAUACCACGAGUCCAGGCUACCAUAUUCUAUUGAAAUUAUAUUUUAUUAGUUCAACA